GAACCUGCAGGAAGGAUCAUUACCACACCGAUCCAAGAUCAGUCUUCAUUGUGAAUCUGAUUUCAGAGGCAGCCUAGCUGUUCUCUGUCGUCAACUUUAACUAAUUUUAACAGUAGCGACCUCUGCUUCGGAAACGUUGCAUCGUUCACGCGCCCCACUAUAUUCUUUUUAUAUAUGUGAACUGGAAAGAACCAAAUGACCUAAAGCCAAAGUGCAGUGGUCUGGUGCUGAGCCUUGUGCCAGCGCCGCCCUGUACACAAACCUAAUGACUUACAACUUUCAGCGGUGGAUGUCUAGGUUCCCACAACGAUGAAGAACGCAGCGAAAUGCGAUACGUAAUGCGAAUUGCAAGACCUCGUGAAUCAUUAAGAUUUUGAACGCACAUUGCGCUUUCGGGAUUUUCCCGGUAGCAUGCUUGUCUGAGUGUCUGUGGAUCCCCCUCAGCACUGGUCUAUUCAAAGGCCGGUAGCUGGUUGCUUUGGCUUUGACUGCCUCUGGUUGUCUUUGCUUAAAUUCUACAACACGUACGUGCAUAGAUCUAGAAAAGUCUUAGACCGUUCUGAAGACGGCGUUGACAUUCUCAUCUAUCUCUGGUAGCUUGUCUCUGGAGUUCACCUGAGUUUGUGAUCAGCUGUUUGAAGGACUACUGAGUCUGUCUCUAAGUCUAGCUUGCAGUUUUGCUGCUUGCUAUCCAAUCCGGAUCUCAGAUCAAGCAAGAUGA
rnacentral:misc_RNA from 1 species